UAUUGAUAAAGGCAAACCCAUUGAAAAAUGGGGACGCAAAACUACAGGGGCUACCGCGAUAAUUCGCUACGCCAGCCAGUUACCGAU
rnacentral:ncRNA from 1 species